rnacentral:lncRNA from 1 species
CAAGAGAAAAAAAUCAGUGAUUUAAUGCCCUGGCUUUACUCAGAGAGUGGAAAAUCAAAUACAAGAUUCCAAACCCGCCCCUUUCUUUUCAUCAUCUUUGAAAAAAAAUACAGGAAAAGGUGGGCUGUUUUGGCUUCCUACCAUGGAAGAGGACCUUGAAGGAGAAAAUUGGCAGACCUUCUCCAUUCCCUGGGGCUUCGGCAAGGUGGCAGAGGAUGAAGGAGAACAUAUUUGCCAGUGAGUAAUGGUCUUCAAGUAAAAAUAUAAGGAGUCUUAUCAUUGUACUCUGAGAUUAGCUCCUGCUAUUCAGUAGGGGGAUUUAUUUGGACAAGGAUUGAAAGCCAUGUCUCAGAAUUCUACAAGAGUGAUGUCUUUGAUAGAAGGGUGAUGAGGUCAUUCUGAGUUUUGUUUAGAAAGAGUAUUGGAAGUGAAGCAGGAAUAUCCUGUAAAACAAAAGGAC